ensembl:lncRNA
AAAGAAUUGGCGCUUUUUCAUUUGAAUUUGUCUUUGGCACAAGAGCCGUAAUAUCACAUUAAACCUAAUUACGAGGCACUCUCAACAUAAUUUGGUUUUCUGUGUGAAUAGAUUUGCCAACUGACUCUUCAGUUACAUUGUGUAUUUACUGCACCGUGGUGUUAGUGAGAUUUUGGACAUUGAACAGCUUAAGCUAAUAUCAUCAGUGGCAUUAUGCUAGCUUACAUCCCUACCCCUCCUGGCCUCACCUGCUGUCCGUUUGUUUUUGUUUUUUUUUUGCUGCACAUUGAGAGAUGACCUCUAUUCUGCAUUUCACCAGGAGUCAGCUGAUGGAUUGUGGGUUCAAGGUGUUAUGAUGAAAUGCAGCAUUCCAGUGCAUCCCAACCAUGCCUUUACAGUCAAGGUUUCUGACGGAGCUGAGUUUCUCUCUGACAGUCUGCUGAAAGUGUUUGCAAAGUGAUCGGGGGAACAGGGCACAAAGCUAAAGGAUGUAGCUGCCAUGAUGACAGAUGACAUUAAUGCUCGAAGGGAGUCUCAUCAAAGUGCUCCGCAUCUGUGUGAAAGACAAUUGCAACAUCUUGGCGCAGGAGUUCAUGGACUUGACUGAGGCCACUGCACAGAUUGAGAAAACCACAAUGAACAUCUGUCUCCAGAGGAUGCACCAGGCAAUGACUUUUCUGAUGUUGUUCUUCAAGAUCUGGAUAACGUGACCUUUGCAGUAGCCAUGCUGUUUGGACCUUUUUUAUUCCUUCAAUAUGAGUUACCC